rnacentral:snoRNA from 1 species
AAGAUCAUACUUCACAGGAUCAUUUCUGUAGUAUGUCUUCAAUCUCUCUAGUUCAAAGCUGGAGUAGACGUAACCACGAUGACGAGUGGUAGCACUCUCCCUGAGCGUGAGGCUUGCGAUCGAGAUUCAUCGCAUUUUGGUUGUAAUCGAUGAUCGUUCACCACAUUCUGAGGGAUGUGGGAAGGGAAUAGCGCUUUCCGAGUGGU